GCUCAGGCUGAGCCCAGAGCAGAGACCCUCCUAGAGGAAGCAGGGCAUGAGGGGAGCCCUGAAAGGAGAAAGAUGGCUGGUGUUUGGGGAGGAAGAUAGAAGGGGAUAAGUAUUCUGGGAGGGGCCAGGCCUGGUCGAAGGGAGACAGAUAGCUUGCAGGCAGUGGUGGGACCUGGGGUGAGUGUGGGAAGGAUGCGUGUGUGUGACCAUCUUGGAUGGCAGGGAGGGCCAGGUCAGGGGUGGCUCAAAAUGUGGCGGAGGAGCUUAGACUGGAAGCACAGCUGACAGAGCAGAAUGAUAAAAUUGCCCCAGUCAGUGCUAGGUUUGCCGUGCUGAGAACAGGCACUAGUAGAUGGCAGAGGUGAUCUCAGUCCUUGCUCACAUCACAGGACAGAAAUGGAGGUUCUCAGAAGGGCUGGGGCUUACCCCAGAUCACCCAGGAGGACAGGAAGGAGCCACAACUGUGGACCAGGCUCUCUGAGCGCCGAGCUGUGGGGCGAGGGGAUGUUAUCAGAACGAAUCCUGCGUGGGAGCCCGCAGUGUGGAGGAUGGGAGAAGUCAGCAGGAGAAGGCAAACCUUUGGAGGCCUCACAGGCCGGAGUUGUGGGCAACUCUGAUCCCCACCCAUCCUGACACCCACCCACCAGCUGUCAAUUGCAACUUUAAUAAUAAUUCCAUAUGCCUCUGGA